UCCAAAAACUGAAUCGAAA
rnacentral:snRNA from 1 species